rnacentral:rRNA from 1 species
GACGAACGCUGGCGGCGUGCUUAACACAUGCAAGUCGUACGGUAAGGCCCUUUCGUGGUUCCACGAGUAGCAGACGGGUGAGUAACACUUACGUAACCUGCCCCCAACUUUGGGCUAACGCUAGGAAACUGGUGCUAAUACUGGAUCUGUACUCCUGCUGCAUGCUGGGGGUUUGAAAGCUCCGGCGGUUGUGGCUGGACUCGCGGCCGAUCAGCCUGUUUGUGGGGUAGUGGCCUACCAAGGCGGCGACCGGUAGCCGGCCUGAGAGGGUGACCGGCAACAUUGGGACUGCGAGACGGACCAGACGCCUACGGGAGGCAGCAGUGGGGAAUAUUGCAGAAUGGGCGCAAGCCUGAUGCAGCAACGCCGCGUGCGGGAUGACGGGCUUGGGGUUGUGAACCGCGUUGAGCAGGGACGAAGCAUCAUGUGACGGUACCUGCAGAAGAAGCAACGGCUAACUACGUG